UAAAGCAGAUGCGAGAAUUUAGUCAAAAUAAUUAUUUCAUUAACCUGUGCAGUUCCUAUACAUAACUGUAAUAGAAAGAAAAGCACAUAAACAACUUAAAUAAAAUAUGCACAACAACAUCAUCUACCCUUGUCUAAUUAAAUUUAUUUUAAUUUUUAAUAAUACCUACAUAUACGAGCUUGUCUGAACAAUCCCCUCCUUCAAAAUUCCCAAGCGUUGCACCGUUUAAGUUUCUUCCCCAUGAUAAUGUUCCGAAUUGGCUUAUUUUCUAAAUUUCGAGACCAAACAACUCUUCUGCAAACUGUACCAAAUAUAGGCAAGAAAAAUAUUCAGACCUUCAUAUCCAUGCAGGUGCACAUGUACUAAUUCUAGCAAUUUAUGUGUUUCUUUACUCUUUGUGAAGGUUAUCCGACGAAGUAAAGCAAAGACCUCAAAUCGAUUUUUUGUCGGUCUCGCUAAACUUUUUUGUAAGUUCAAUUAGGGAUAAUUCUCUCAAACCAGUCCAUAAAUUCUUGUGGUCUGUGAUUGCUGCUUAGAUUUUUGAUAAUUAUUGGACUUUUGGUUUCUUAAUUUGGUUUUUGUUUUAUUGCCGUUUUUUGCCGAUUAGGAAGUUUGCGUCUUUAUCUUCAAGCAAGUCAAGUUAUAUAAAAUUUUUAUUCUUUUUUUCUGGGAAUUAUUAAAUAAAAAUGUUUUAACUGUAUUAAACCAUGUUAUUGCACUGUCCUUUAUUCCUCUUCACUGUACAUCUGGGGUAACAAUGUUUUCCAUAAAAGAUGAAGUUAAUAUGGUGUUUUGCAUGAUCUGUAGUUGUUAUGUUCAAUUCAUCACUUAUUGUAUUGGAAUUUUGUGUCUUUAUCUUUAUUUAUCUUAUUAGAAAAGGAAAAAAAUCAGAGUCAGUAUCUUUUUCUACAAAAAGCUGGGAUUUUCAUAUACAAGUUCUAAAUUACAUUGUUUUUGUAUCAUAGAUCAAGUUACCAUAUUAUUAGGCAUGAUUUCUUGGUUGUAUGUUCGGUUCAUUAGUUACUAAAACUGAAAAGUUUUCACCUGUAGCUGAUUAAAGCAUAUACAUAGUUGUUGUGCUUUUAAUUUUCAAUGUUAAUAGUCACAACUAUUCCAUCAAAACGGUGUGCCAUUAUAUAAUGGUGCUUCGAAAAUCAAUAUAGGGUAUGCAUUAUUCACGUUGGUGGCUGUUGAGGAUGGCGGUCAGAGUCUUGGUAGAACACACACCAUACUUCUCUUUUGUGCAAUACUAUUCUGGCGUUUUUUGUUCAUUCUUUUUGCAUCCGGGAUCUGGUAAUUCAUAUCAUUCUCUUGCCACACUUUACAGUUUCUUGUUCACAUAAAUAAUAGAAAAGAAAAGAGAAAAGAUUUACUGAAUUUUUCAGAAUGAUCUAGAGAAACAAUGGGGAAGGACUGCGCUUGGGAAACGAAAUAAAGUACCAGGACACAAUAAAGUAACUAGUCUUCAAGUGACAAGCAAAAUUAUAUGGCUUUACGAAUGGGAAUAUUAUAAACUACUUAUAAAUAUUUCACUUGAAUUUCUUUUGUGGGUGAAGGAACAAGGUCGGAUAAAGGGAUUGAGGAUGGCAAUAAAAAUAAUAUGCAGGGGGAGGAGGACAUGAAAGAGGCUAAACCCUAUGGAUGCCCAGUAUUGUAGCAUUCUAAAUGAACUAUGAUAUUUUUCGAGACAUUAAUGCCUCUGGCCGAUACAGAAUUUAAAGCUAUAUGGUGGACCAUGGAGGAACUUUUUUGGAAAUUCUAGCUAAGGGUAAAUGCAUAAAGGUUUGAAUUCGAGGAUGAAUUCUUUUUUCUUUGAAAGGGAAGAGCUAUGAUGCAGUUGGGACCCGGGAGGAAGACCGGUACGUGAAGAGGUCCUCACUUCGAAAGGGCAGGCCAGACUAUUGAAAUAUGGAAACUAUUUAGGUUCUUUUAUGUUUCAAUUGAGUUAUCCUGCAGCAUUUAGGCUUCUCCAUAUUUUAAUACUAGAAGGUUUGGACUUGCUGAUCCCAGAGCUCAAAAAAGAUUGGUGCACAGCUUCGGGAGCUCCUCAGUUUGACUAUGGAAAAGAGCAUGACAUCUUACCAACUGGACUUUUGCUUUGCUUAAUCAAACAUUAUGGUAUAUUUACAUCACUGAUAAAGGUGUCAGGAGCACUGUCAUAGUUAAAGAAGUUUAUGAUGGCUCUAAUUUAAUUAGUAAAUGCCCACAUUUACUGUGUAGGGGUAACUUUAUAGCUCUCACGGGCAAAAGAGGUAUUGAUUCAUGUGCAAGAGUUUCUUCAUAGUAAGUUUAAUGAGAAUACUGGUUGAUGAGACAAUCAUGGUUUUCUUGCAAUUCGGAAGGAUUAUUACAAUGGCCUUGAGCCUUAUCAAUAGAGGAGAAAAGGUUGGUCAAAGUGUA